UCCGUUCUUCGAGGCGUUGCCAAUCUGUAUGCUCCCAUUCGCCGAAAGUCGAAAAGAGCGGGGGCUUACGGGCAGCAGUUGCAGAGGGGCGGCGAACCGCCGCGCAGUACCUUCCUGGGAAGGAGGGGGCGUCCCGGGAUACCUGAAAGGAUAAAGGGCGAUGACCACACCGGGAGGCUUGGGCACGGGUUUCGGCUCCGUAUCCUGGUGGGGCCUGUCGCCGGCGUUGGACCUACAGGCUGAGAGUCCUCCUGUGGACCCAGACUCGCAGGCUGAUACAGAGCACGGGACUCCCCAGCUAGAUGUUCUGCUGCUGGGCUCCGUGGAUGGGCGGCACCUGCUGCGAACCCUGGC